rnacentral:rRNA from 1 species
GCGACCCCAGGUCAGGUGGGCACCCCAAUUU